rnacentral:rRNA from 1 species
CUUAGAGUAAUGUCUAAGUAUCAUUAAGUGAAUACAUAGCUUAAUGAGGGGAACUCAGGGAACUGAAACAUCUAAGUACCUGAAGGAAGAGAAAGAAAUUCGAUUCCGUAAGUAGCGGCGAGCGAACGCGGAUUAGCCCAAACCAAUAAAGUUUUCUUUAUUGGGGUUGCGGACAUAUCAUAACGAAGAGGUAUCGUAAUUGAAGAGGUUUGGAAAGACCCACCACAGAAGGUAAUAGUCCUGUAUGUUAAACGAGAAGACUUUAGAUAUGAUCCAGAGUACCACGGGACACGUGAAACCCUGUGGGAAGCAGGAGGGACCACCCUCCAAGGCUAAAUACUACCUAGUGACCGAUAGCGUAUAGUACCGUGAGGGAAAGGUGAAAAGAACC